rnacentral:RNase_P_RNA from 1 species
CCAGAGGGUCGGGCGGCCGCGGCUCGGGGGUGAUCCCGGGGCGAGGAAAGUCCGGGCUCCACGGAACAACGGUGCCGGGUAACGCCCGGCGGGGGUGACCCCAGGGAAAGUGCAACAGAAAGCAGGUCGCGUCGGCUUCGGCCCAAGACUUCGGUGACGUGACAGUGAAAGGGUGCGGUAAGAGCGCACCGCGGUCCCGGCAACGGGAACGGCACGGCAAACCCCACCGGGAGCAAAACCGAAUAGGGGCGGCAAAUGGGCCUAGUUCCGGCUCGUCGCCCGGGUUGGUUGCUUGAGGGGCGGAGCAAUUCGUCUCCUAGAGGAAUGGUCGCACAGGCGGGGCCGCAGGGCGGCGCCGCCGGACAGAACCCGGCUUACAGACCCUCUGGCCGA